rnacentral:rRNA from 1 species
CCAGACUCCUACGGGAGGCAGCAGUGAGGAAUAUUGGUCAAUGGUCGGGAGACUGAACCAGCCAAGCCGCGUGAGGGAGGAAGGUACAGAGUAUCGUAAACCUCUUUUGUCAGGGAACAAAGGCGGGGACGUGUCCCCGGAUGAGUGUACCUGAAGAAAAAGCAUCGGCUAACUCCGUGCCAGCAGCCGCGGUAAUACGGAGGAUGCGAGCGUUAUCCGGAUUUAUUGGGUUUAAAGGGGGCGUAGGCGGAGUGCGAAGCGAGCGGUAAGAUCGCGGGGCUCAACCCCGCUCCGCCGUUGAAACUGGCGUUCUUGAGUGGGCGAGAAGUAUGCGGAAUGCGUGGUGUAGCAGUGAAAUGCAUAGAUAUCACGCAGAACCCCGAUUGCGAAGGCAGCAUACCGGCGCUCAACUGACGCUGAGGCACGAAAGUGCGGGUAUCGAACAGGAUUAGAUACCCCCGUACUG